CUUUUCCUACCUGUACAGGUCUUCCUGCUUCUCAUGUCCCAUUGGCAGACCUGUUAUCAGGUCUUCCCCCUCCUUCAGGAAGCCCUCCCUGGUUGGUGGUGAUGGUAGAAUAAGUGUUCUGAAUUGGUACUGGUUGCUCCUUCAAGAGCAUCCCUCUCCUACCACCUGGGCCUCUGCCCUGAAGCUGGGAGGAGCAGGAGGGCAGAACGUGGGCAGAGGUGGGCUUUGUCCCAGGCUGAGGACUCUGCUGUCCUUCAGAGGGAGGAAAGUUCCUAGAAGGCUGAGGAGAGGACGCAUUAUAUUAUCUGCCUUCUCCCUCCCUCAGCGAUUUCAUACAGGUACCAUCAAAAGGAAAUAGCGCCACCUGAGAAAAAAUUUUCAAAGCACUUUUGCACAUGUGGUCAUUUGAUACACAUCAUUGCCCUGUGGUGUGGAGAACAUGAAUGUUAGCCCAUUUUACAGACAAGAAACCUAGACCUAGAGAGGUGAAGUGACUUGCUCAAGGUGCCACAGGUAUGGAGAAGCAGAGCUGGGACAGGGCCUUGCUCUUUGAGUCCUAGUUCAGUCACUGCAACACUUUCAAGGACAGCCUUGAAGGGUAAAGAGUUACAGAAGGUCGGUUGUUGGCUUGGGGAGGGGGAGGGGGAGGGAGAGGGAAGAGAAGGUGGCAGAGCUGAGGUUGGAGGCGGAGGCAAGCCUUGGCAAAAGGGAGGUACUGGUGGCUGCUGUGGGCAGCACUGAUAUCAGGACUUGCUGGUAUGGCCAUAUCCUUGUUAAAAUAUUGAAGUCUUCCAUGCUGGUAAGGGAAUGGCUGCUGCCUGGGCCUCAACCACUUCCCCCAUCCCCAUGAUCUAGCAACUAAGGGAGAUAACCUCUGGCACAGCAGAGGACCUCUAGUGCAGCGCUCCUUUCUGAUUGGUUGAUGCCCAUGCUAUACUAAUUGUUAAAUAUUUCCACUAUCUCCCCAGCUUGAAGUAUAUGAGCCAGCAACUCCUGGGCACCUGGACUUUCCCAAAGCCUCUCAAGAAACCCGGGGAGCAGCUGGGUCAGGACAAGAGACGAAAUGGAUGAACAGGGAUAGGAAAAUGACACCAGGCUUAUAGUUCCCAUUCUGCUUUUUCUGGCUCUCCAGUCACUUAUUCCCAAGGCUGACAGCAUUCUCAUAAGAUGUGGUCUGUUGGCCGGAGCAGGGGAGGGUACCUGGGGGUAGGAAACCUGCCAGGGCCGGGACCUGGGGCAGGACUCCCUCUUUCCCAGGCCUCAUCUCCCAACUCCAUGUGAAGGGAGGGAAGAAGUGAGAAAAGAGAGGGUGGAGGCGCUGGGCCGAUCUGCUUGUCCUGCUGGGGUGCCCUUUUGCCCCACAGGACCCAAAUUCAGGUUUGUGUUUCGGGUGCCAAGGAAGGGAUGUUACGGGAAAGAAGAACUGGAAGGAAGCAGGGUUUCUGUAAGGGACGUUCAAUGCCAUCAUCUCUGCUAAACUUGCCCCUUGCCCGACCCCAGGAAGAGGCUGGAGGAGGCGGCGGGGGGGGGAGGGGGGCGAGGGGGAGCCCCGAGUACGGGGUAGGGGGUCGGGGGAAUGGGCGGGAUGGGGCUCUUGGAGGUGCCUCCCAGCGAGCCCAAAGCCUCUCCAGCAACCCUGGGAGAAUUUUCUCGGCUUGGUUAAGAGGAGAGACACAUGGGGGCAGAGGGGACGGGAAAGGAAAAGGAAAUUGGCGCUUAAGCCAGAAUGUGACCCCCCUACAAAACUGAGAAGAGGAAGGGAGGGCCCCUAGCAGGAUUCUUCUUCCUUUGUACCCAUGGAGAGGAAAUGCCUCCUUUCCCUGCUGUCUCUGGGGUGGCUCCUAGAUUCACCCACUCUCCUCCCAGAACUCCCCAGUGCCGGACUAAAACCGAACUCUGAAACGUGCCCACUGACUUCCUGAGCAACAGAUGCGGAUGCGUUUCCCCAGUCAGCAGCAGGCCCUACCCAGGCCCCAAAGACCACCCCUUUCUUCUAAUGAUGACAACGGCAAACAUUUAUGGAGUGCCCAUACAGUGCUGGGCCUUGUGCCUGGCCACUUGCGGACUGUCUGUCCUGCGUGCACUGCAACUCCCCAAGAGGUGAAGUAACUCCCUGACAGCUGCUCGGGCCUCUCCUUCAGACCCUGGCUCUUAGCCUCGGCUGCCUCCUUCAGUCUCCCUGCUUUAAUUUCUUGGUCGCCAUCUCUGACGGCUCUUUCUGUUCCUGUCUCUGUUCCUUUUCCUCUUCUCAGUCCCUGGGCAUUCCCCAAGAUUCAGUCUCUUCUCCCUGGAGAAGCUUACUUUCUCUAAAAGUGUGAGUCAUCACAGCUAGACCCGCUAGGAAUAAAUCUGCAAGUCAACGUUUCUGCCAGGGUGAGAAAACAAUAGUCUGCCCCCUGGGGAUUGCUCUAUGAAAGGGACCAACAGAGUUUCUACUGCCCUCUUCAGUGUAUAAAGACUGAUGGCUCUAGAGAGGAUUCCCUAAUAAUCUGGUGUGAGACAAUAGCAGGAAAAGUCAUUUCAAAGUUUCAGUUUUCUUUGUUUUGCUAAGGAAGGCCAGGGAGCCUUGGUGCAUAUCUUGGUUAUAGAUCUUGACAGAUCUUUCCUGUUAGCCUGGAGUGAGACUACCAGGGGACUGAGUUGUUUUGCAUAGUAAAAUACCCGUAAUUUUCAGUAGCUCUUGGGAUUCUGAAAGGGAGAAGGUGAGAGUCUGGCUGUUGUUCUGUGACUAAAAACCAAAAAAAAGAGGAGAAAGUUCUGAAGGUGGAGGUGGCAGUUCCGAAGGAAAAAAGGCAGCCUGCCAUUCACUGCCAGCCCCACUGGCUAUCCUGGGGAGUUGGGGCUCUAGGGACACCGAUGCCACUAGCUUGCGCUUUUGUCCCUGGGCUCCCCCUUGAGCCUCUAGCCUUCAGGAAAAUGUUUUAUUUAACUUUUUUUUUUUUUAGACAAGGUCUCACCCUGUUGUCUGGGUUGUAGUGCAGUGGUGGGAACAUAGCUCACCGCAGGCUCUAUCUCCCGGGUUCAAGUGAUCCUCCCACCUCAGCCUCCCGAGUAGCUGGGACUACAGGCAUGCGCCACCAGGCCCAGCUAAUUUUUGUAUUUUUUGUAAAGAUGGGGUUUUGCCAUGUUGGCCAGGCUGGGUCUUGAACUUCUGGUCUCAAGCCAUCUGCCUGCCUCAGCCUCUCAAAGUGCUGGGAUUAGAGGAGGUGAGCCACUACGCCUGGCCAAGAAAAUUUGAUUAACCACCAGAAUGAUGUCACUUGCCAGUCAGUCCAGCCUAGUGGAAAGUGUGUUUAGGCUUAGGUGGAAGUGGUGGAGAGAAGUCCCUGCCAUGCAGAGGGGACAGUGAACCGAGCCGGAAGCAGGGGACAGGGCAGAUGGGAGACCACUGUCAUCACAAAACCCACCUGCCUCCCCUUGGGGUGUGUUUUUUGUCCUCCUCUUUCACUUGAAUUCCAGGUCUUUGUUUCUGUUUCUUUUGUUCCCAAAGCCCCUAAGAUAUCUCCACUAGGUUAUAUCUUGGCUGCCUCAAUUUCAAAGCGCUGCUGUUUAAAUAUUCCUACAGUAAAGCCACCUCACUGAGGAAGCAAUAACUAAACAAACACAUUUCCCUUUCCCUUUCUAAUGACUGCAUUUCUGUCUGGGGUCCCAUUGCCAAUGCAGUGUUCCAAACUGAAGCUUCGGGAGGCCAACUGUGCUCUUUGCCGCUGGGUAUCUGGAGUUCCUGAGCCUGUGCCCAGUGCUGGCCCCAGGCUGUGUGCCUAAGCCGAAUGACAGCUUUGAAUCUCCCUAGGAAGCAGGUAGUCAUUGUGUAUAUCUGUUUUGCAGAUGACGAAAUUGAAGUUGAGGGAGGUCAUAUAACUUACCCAAGGUCACAUGGCUAGGACCUGGUAGGACCGGUGUCUGAACCUGGAUUUUUCUGAAUUCAGUAUAGACUUUAACCAAAGUAUCCCUAAGGCUCCCCCUUCUCUUCCCUCUUCUUUUUUUUUUUUUUUUAAGACAGAGUCUCGCUCUGUCGCCCAGGCUGGAGUGCAGUGGCGCGAUCUCGGCUCACUGCAAGCUCCGCCUCCCGGGUUCACGCCAUUCUCCUGCCUCAGCCUCCCGAGUAGCUGGGACUACAGGUGCCCGCCACCGCGCCCGGCUAAUUUUUUGUCUUUUUUAGUAGAGAUGGGGUUUCACCGUGGUCUCAAUCUCCUGACCUCGUGAUCGGCCCGCCUCGGCCUCCCAAAGUGCUGGGAUUACAGGCGUGAGCCACCGCGCCCGGCCUCUUCCCUCUUCUUUAGGUCCUUUCUUCUCCUUUGUUUUUUGUCCCUUUUUGCAAUGUCUCCCUAAGGCUGUGGCACUAAACCUUCCAUGUUUCACACCCAAACUAGUACAAUAAACCUCCUGUCACCAAUUUCUCCCUCCUCCAGCCCACCCAGCACACUGCUACCUGAUUUCCUGAAAACCUAAUUCAAGAGGAAACACACUGAUUUCACCCUUGCUCAAGAAUUCAUGGCAGGGCUAUGCACGGUGGCUCACGCCUGUAAUCUCAGCACUUUGGGAGGCCGAGAUAUGCAGAUUGCUUAAGCUCAGGAGUUCAAGACCAGCCUGGACAACAUGGAAAGACCCUGUCUCCACAAAAAGAUGCAAAAAAUUAGCCAGGUGUGGUGGUACACACCUGCAGUCCCAGCUACUUGGGAGGCUAAGCUGGGAGACUCACUUGAGCCCAGGAAGUUGAGGCGGCAGUGAGCUGUGAUCAUGCCACUGCACUCUAGCCUGGGUGAUGGAGUAAGACUCUGUCUCAAAAGAAAAAAAAAAAGAAUUCACGGUGGCUGUCUCUUGUUGACCCUAUUUAACUCAAGCGCAUCCAGGCCACAGGGUUCUGCAGCUCUGAGAUUCUGCAGAAUCUGGCCUCUUACCACGCACUCACACAAACACUGUGCUCCAUACUUAGGCAGAUAUGGCCGUCAUUCCAGAAAUAUAUCCAGCCCAGCUGGUCCUCUGAUUCUGCUGCUCAUGGUCUUCCUAUCCUUAAAAGUCUAACUCAAAUCUUCACUUCUCUUUGGCCAUUCCGUUCCUGUGGUGGGUUGAAUAGUGGCCCCCCCAAAAGAUAGAUAUAUCUAAGUCCUACCCUCUGGAACCUGUGAAUGUGACCUGAUUUCGAAAAAGAGUCUUCGCAGAUUUGCAGAGAUCCUAAGAGCUCAAGAUGAGUUCUCCCUGGAUUUAGGGUGGGCUCGAAAUCUAAUACUCACAUCUUUGUAAGAGAAAGGAGGGGGAAAUUUGGACACAGAGACAUACAGAGAGGAAGGCCAUGGGAAGACAGAGAAAGAGUUUGGAAUUUUGUUACCACAAGCCACGGAACGCCUGGGGCAACCAGGAGCUGGAAGAGGCAAGGAUGGAUUCUCCUCUAGAGCCUCCAGAGGAAACUCAGCUCUGCCAACACCUUGAUUUGAAACUUCUGGCCUCCAGAACUGUGAGAGAGUAAGCUUCUGAUGCAUUUUAGGCCACCAAGUUUGUGGGACCUAAUACAGCUCCAUUUGCAUCUCUCUUCUUUUGAACUCCUCCUGCUUUUUAUCUGCUCACAUCACUCCCCUGCCCGACUCCUUCACUGGCCCUCUGUCAUCCAAAGGACAAAGCUCAUCUAUAGGAUGCUUUAUCAUGACAUGCAGAGAUGGGCAUGACCUGGUGGCACCUACCCCCUAGCCUCUCCCUGCUGCGUCUACUCUUGUACUUGAUACUGUAGCAAUACCAAUGGGGGCAGUUCUCUCAACACACACAACUGUUUCACAGUUCCCGCCUUUGCACGUUCUGCUCCUCCAUGUGGAAUGCCCUUCCCUUCCACCCUGACUCCCUGACAUACUCCUAGGUAUCCUCCCAAAUGGUGCUCAGACAUCAGCUCCUCUGUGUCCCUUCCAAACAGACCCAGCAGACAAUGCCUUGCUCCCUUCUCUGUCCCAGCUUCAUUCUACAUAACUUCUCUCUAUUGUUUGUAUACUAAUUACUCAACCAGGCUGCAGCACCUAGGCCUUGAGGGCAGGAAUGGUGGUUUACUCUUUUCUGAUUCCCUAGCACCUAGCUCUAGUGCCUGCCGUACUCAGCAAGUGCCCUGUAAAUGUCUGCGAAUGGAAGAUGACUUCUAG
rnacentral:lncRNA from 1 species